ensembl:lncRNA
AAGACUGAUGAUGUCAUAUUUAUUGAUGAAAUGUAUUCAUGUCCAUGCUAGUCAUCUGACAAACAUUUGAAGCGACGUGUCAACGCUCUACGAAUCUCUACAACUACGUCAUGACUAAAUAUAAUAAAUAUUUAACGUUUCACGGGCGUAUAAAUUAGCAGGUAAGCUAAGAAAUCGAACUGAAUUCCAGCCAAAAUGUACAUCUAGGAAUGAAUAGGAACUUAAAUAUAGGCAUUAGCUCAAGCCUGGUUUACUGGUAACCAGGCAGUCAAGCCUGCUAGCUUUCAUCCAUUAUUAGCAACACUGCCUUUAGGCAGAGAGAAGACGGUCCAGAAUUGCCCAAUAGUAUUUUUUUUUUUCUUUGUGCUUUCUUGGUUAUAAAUGGGUCUUUUCCUUUGUAAAUGUUAUUACAAAGUAAGACUCUAAAGCGUAUAAAGAUGACUGUGAGGAACUCUUGUAGCCGGCUAGUUGUCAGAUUUGUUUUAGAGUGGACUCCAUUAGCAAGUUCCUGACUGCAGGUUUGGACUCUGCGUUGGAUCAACACGGUCGAGCGAGCGGAACAUUAACAGAACCGUCCGACAACUUGAUGGCAAUGUGAAAUCUUAUCCAAACAAAAAGGGUGCCAGGUUGUAGGCCUGCCAAAAGCCUUGGUCUGAGUUUUCACGUGUAUGUGCAUGUAGCUGGAAGUGUAUCGCUGCUGGCAUGACUCAAUACAUCAGUUUGUUUCAUGCCUGAUCCUGAAUAUUCGCACUGAUGUGCUGUGGAUUAUAAAAACUGUGUGUGUGUGUGUGUGUGUGUGUGUGUGUGUGUGCGUGCUUACGGGCCUACACCGACGAGAUCAGUCGAGUCAAAGCACAUAAAUCACAAGCUGGGCCGGAGUAGACAAGCCAAUAUCGAUCUACUCCUCACAACACAUUCAUUUUAUAGUGUGAAGGAGAGCCGUAGAGUUCACACGGCGCUCUUUCACGGAGCUCUUUCGCGUCCAAUUCUGGGACCUUUUGUUUCUCUCGCUGAUGCUUUUGAUUCCAUCGUCAGCCCAGGCUCCGUUCCAGUCAGCCCUCAAGUUCCACAAAUCACAGUGCCCUUUUUUAACAGCCUGCCCCCUUUUGGAGUGUGCUGCUCUCUUCCCCCAGUAGUCCGCCCUCGCUGGCUCUCAAUUAUCAUCGUGGCUUUCGCCGUGACUUUUCCUGUCCGCUUUGAUCGAAGAGGAGCCGCUGUAACACGUCGUUCAAAUCUCCAUGUUUACAGUUUAGAGCCCCGGAGUCAAACACGUUAGCUGUCUUUUAAAAAAAAAUUAGUAUUUCACACUGAGCUUGCUGCCAAACUGACCUCUCUUAGUCACGCUGUCUCUGCCUCUGUCCCUGAUGGCCAAAUAGCCUCCGUAAAUGCCUACACGUAGACACUGUUCACCGGCUAAUGGGGGUGUGUUUGUUUAUUUAUUUAUUUAUUUAUUUAUUUAUUUAUCCAUUUUCAUUCUUAUACACACACACACACACACACACACAAAAAAAGCCAUUUGAACAGCUACGUCUUUGCCUCAGAGUUCAGCACAAAAAAAUGGCAGAGAAGUGCCUCGAGUGUAUGCCUGGUUUCCUUCAAACAUAACAGAACCUUUUGCUUAUGCUCGUGAUUCCAUAAAAGGUUUAAUGUAGCGCAAAUCUCUUGACUUGAAAGACGUCUGCGCAAAAAAACACAUCUGUCCAUCGAGUCGUCGUGUAUCGGCUCUGUCUCAAACUUCAACUUGUGACCCCGCCAGCCGAGAACGAUCUGGUACGGGAAUCGGGAUGCCUGCGGCGCCGCAUUCUUCCGUGUUUUCCCCGUUCGAACACCAAGCUUGACUCGUUAGCAUCCGCCAGAGCUGUCGAAGCUGGGAAGACCCAAAAACAAAGCAGCAUGUUGGUUCACCAGAAUUGGAAAUACCCAUUCCCGACCUAGGAUCUAAUUACAGCAUGUGCUGACGCAAAACCAUCUUCCCAGGGGUGGUCAGAAAGUCCUGAUGUGAAAGAAGCAGAAUGAGAUAUCGAGGGGCGUCCGAUCGACGUAUACCCCGAUAGGUCCGGGGUCCAGCUUCAUUGCAUCACGUUAAAAAUAAUCGCAAAACAGUUUAAACCGAUUAGCUACUGGAAAACCAGCCAGAACUAACAAACCCGUUGACUUUGUGACUUCAGAUUGACCCUCGGGGCCGUUCGUCUUUGAAAACGACAGUCCUGGGAUUGUACAAAGGAGGAUGUUUACACUGAGUCAGGGAAGAACUAACAGGAUUUCUUAGUCAAUAACACAAGGCCCACUUGUUUGAAAUCAGUCAGCAGUAUGGUCUUCAUUUUAGGAGGACGCUGCAAACAUUCUACUGCACAACAGAGCUCUGUUUGCUUCCAUCUGCUGCCAUUUUGGUCCGCCCCGAACGAGGCCGGAACUCACUGGAUGCACUUGUUAAACCGAUGCGGCGUUUCAAUUCCGAACGUACCUCUACCUUCGAGUGCUGGGAGUGAGGUUCGAAAGGUUCUUUCACUGAUCUGCUGUAGCCAAAUGAAACGUCAAUAUAAAAUCACUUUCUUUUUGUUCUCUCUCUCUCUCUCUCUCUCUCUCUCUCUCUCUCUCUCUCUCUCUCUCAUGGAUCGACGCAAUCAUGGCGUUUGGCUUUUGCUCAAGCAGAGUCAUUGGCGAACCGUUUGAAUGAGGAAGGAUGUUAGGGAGAUUACACAAACAGGGAUAGGGUAUAUUUUGGGCACAUCUCGAGCAUUGAUGAGCAGUUUUGUUUCUAGUCUUUCCAACGUCUGGUAGAACGGCACAUGUAGAAUGUAGUUUUCCGUCGUCCCUUAAAGGGUCAAUGUCUCUGUAGAAUUCCACCAAAGAGUGUUUCCCCAUUAGAAAGAUGUCGGAGUGGAAGCCUUAAGUAGUGUUUUCCACUUUCCACCCAACCGCCUGCACACAUUGUACAUGUAAUUGAAUGAGAAGAGGCAGCAAGAUGGCCACCGCUGUUUUCAGAGCUCUCGGCUUUUCGGAAAAGUUGCUUUUUUUUCCUUUCCCAUAUCUGCACUAAAGACAUUCUAGAGCGCACUUUUGAAAAAUAAAUAACAAUAAGUCACACGCUAAGUGAGGAAACGGCUUCAAGCAAGAGUACGAUCUUCUUCACUAAUGCGUCGGAGUGCGUAUCAGGCGUUAUAGUACGAUUAACAGCGUGUUAGGAGCGUACAGUGUUGGCGUCCGGAUUAAAUAUUUACCGCUAACGGGAAAUUAAGCGAAUCCGUUUAUUUCUAUUGUAUUUGAUAACAGGCUGGUAGUGGACUCGUACUUCUCCAACACAUUGUCAAUCUACGCCUCCUUCAUCCCGCCUCGUUAAGCUCUAAUUUGCACCUCUGUGAAAGAGCGAAAGUGAACGCUGUGGGGGAAUCGUGAUGCUUGUGUUUGCCUACAGCUGGAGAACACUUCCCACGAGAGGGAGGCGAGAGCAGUAAAUGUUUACGUGCGAAGGGUCAACCCUCCUGUUUCUUGAAAAUCAGCUCCGAGUCUCCGCUCAGGCAGGAGCGUACUAUGAAGAUGAGGCCUAAAUCUUACGUCUAUAGGCUACACGUGGCUCUCCUGGUUUAAAGAUGUACUAACAGGUACUGAUUACGUGGCAGAACAAAAAAGGGUCAGGGCGGGUUUCAUUUUAGAACCACAAAUGCUGCUUUCACACUUUGAGUUUUUUUUCUCAACCGCCAGUUGUACAUGUAACCCUACAGGAAGCAGUUGCAAGGUGGGCGAAUGGAGGCGUUUUCAAAAAGCACUGCCUCCUGCGGGUUUUUCGGUCUCUGAGGAGCGCUGAAAAAGUUUUCAGAAAAGCACAGUCAAGUUUUUAUUUAUUUCUUUCUUUUUUUAAUGGAUGUAUGUAUUAUUUUUUUCCAGCCAAGUUUGGAGGUUCAUGCGGCGACCCAGCAAACAGGGGACGUCCCCCGGAGAUUACGACCGUCCACUUAGGUCCGGGUUUAUAACGUUCGCUAGUGAGCGGACGUUCCGAGGACGUCUGAGGAUAUCGAAUCAUAACAAUACUGGAUGUGUUCAUUUCAGCGAAAGUCCCCCGAGCGUCCCGAUUGGCCGCUGGACGUCCUGUGAACGUCCCUUUGAACGUACCUAGGAUGUCUGGGGGACCCUACACAUGGAUGUUCGUAGACGCCAUUCAUGAGACGUCCUGGUGACGCUUUUUUUUUUUUGUCAGCUGGGAAGCAAGAAAAAACAAAAUGGAGGACAAAGCGACGGAGAAAAGCGUGUCUUGUUAAUGAGCGAAAUCCGAAAGAGAUUUGAAUCCAAUGACGCAACGUAACGGGAUGUAUUUUCGGGAUGUUCACCAGUACGUGAUGUGACCCACUGUAACGGUGGCUCCAUACAGUCGAGCCACAGACAAACUUUCUUGAUUUUCUGUCUCCGAAGCUAUGACGAAGCUUCGACGUCGCCACUUCAACCUUUUCUCGGAGAGCUAGCUAGUUAGCUAGUUAGCCGAUUCGAACUAGAACUGGAAAGCGUGUUGUGGUGUAAAAAUGAUUUUCAUACCAGAACUAAAAGCUGUUCAGCCAAAGUGUUUUCUAAUUUGACAUUCACCUGUGGAGUAAUAAAGACUCAAAACAGAGCAUUUAUUUAAAAAAAUAAAAUAAAUUAAUUGGAACCUAUUCAAGUGAAGCUUUGCAAAAAAAAAUAAAAUAAAAAAAAUCUCAAUACAAGUCAACAAUGAGUCGAUUCUCGGAAGUAGAGCUGUAGGACUGUCGAGGCUUUCUGUACUGACUUGGACUUAUUGCUAAAUGAGGUCUUGGUAUUGACCUUGAGGUUUCUUUGACGAGAAGCACUUCCUUCCUUUAGAAAUCAGCCCAGUCAUCGGCGUAUUGCACAAAUGAAGCUAGCUGAAGUAAAGGCUUGGCGUCAAACAGGAUUCGAUGGUAUUCUGUCUUGACCUUGACUCAGUCGUGCUUGCAUUUGACCCCCUUAAGACUCGGUCUUGACUCCAUCUCAGCUAGUCCUGGUCUUGAACUCUUGGACAAUGGCAUUCUUGAACUACUCGGAAGGAAGUACGAACCCAUUUUCGGUCCCCUCGUUCUUGAGACACACGCAUGUAGUCAGAGAGAGUGUGUGUGGUGUCCAGCCUACACAAUGUAGACGUAAAACCCACUGUAGCAAAGCAUUUAUUUAUUUAUUUAUUUUUAUUUUUGUUUUUUUGCAUUAGCCUAAUUGUAGCAGGCCAAAUCCCCUCCCCCUCCCCAGUCUAAUCUCAGGCAUACCAGUCCAGCAGUUGCUAUAUUCUGCUGCCACAGUGUUGUAAAUCAUAUUUGUCUUAUGAAAACUGGACAAACUAAAGCUACUUCUAAAAUUUUCCUCUAUAAUAUUAGUGUAUAAAGAUGUUCUUCAGGCCCGAUCGAGGGAUUAAGAUAAAGCCUGUGGAAAACCUUUCGCCCACUACGUCGACAUCAACCAGUCAAACACACCACACUGACUGUGGUCUCCGAAAGACAAACGAAUGAAAUUAUUCAGCGCACUCUGGUGGUGUCGGAGGGAACUGCAACCGUCUCUAAGGAGCGUUCAACCCUUUCAGUUCAGAGCCCAUUGAAGCCUCAGAUUCCUGUUCCUAGCCCAUCCACCUCAAGGUUUGCAGUGUUGUGUGUUCUGAGAUGCUUUUCUGCUUGCCAAGGUUGUAACGAGUGGUUAUUUGAGUUACGGUAUUCGCUAUCAGUGCCAUCAUUCACCUUCGCAAUGAUUGUCAUAUUUAUGGAACCAUAGUACUGUAUAUGGACUAUGGCACAACCAUGAUUCUAGAGCAGGGGUGUCCACACUCGGUCUUGGAGGGCCACUGUCCUGCAGAGUUUAGCUUCAACUUGCCUCCAGAC